rnacentral:rRNA from 1 species
UACGGAGGGGGCUAGCGUUGUUCGGAAUUACUGGGCGUAAAGCGCGCGUAGGCGGACCUGCAAGUCGGGGGUGAAAGCCCGAGGCUCAACCUCGGAACUGCCUUCGAUACUGCGGGUCUCGAGUCCGGGAGAGGUGAGUGGAACUGCGAGUGUAGAGGUGAAAUUCGUAGAUAUUCGCAAGAACACCAGUGGCGAAGGCGGCUCACUGGCCCGAUACUAACGCUGAGGUGCGAAAGCGUGGGGAGCAAACAGG